UACGGAGGGGGCAAGCGUUACUCGGAAUUACUGGGCGUAAAGCGUGCGUAGGUGGUGAGUUAAGUCUGUCGUGAAAGCCCCGGGCUCAACCUGGGAAUGGCGAUGGAUACUGGCUCGCUAGAGUGCGGUAGAGGAGAGUGGAAUUCCUAGUGUAGCGGUGAAAUGCGCAGAUAUUAGGAAGAACACCGGUGGCGAAGGCGGCUCUCGUGGAACGGUACUGAUGCUGAGACGCGAAAGCGUGGGGAGCGAACAGG
rnacentral:rRNA from 1 species